AACAAACGCUGGCGGCGUGCCUAAUACAUGCAAGUCGAACGGGGAAAGCUUUCGGGUGAGUACUAGUGGCGCACGGGUGAGUAACGCGUGGAUAAUCUGCCUUAGAGUGGGGGAUAACUAGUCGAAAGAUUAGCUAAUACCGCAUAAGACCACAAGAACUGCGGUUCAAGGGGUCAAAGGUUUUUCGCUCUAAGAUGAGUCCGCGUAAGAUUAGCUAGUUGGUAGGGUAAUGGCCUACCAAGGCGACGAUCUUUAACUGGUCUGAGAGGAUGAUCAGUCACACUGGAACUGAGACACGGUCCAGACUCCUACGGGAGGCAGCAGUAGGGAAUAUUGCACAAUGGAGGAAACUCUGAUGCAGCGACGCCGCGUGAGUGAUGAAGGCCUUCGGGUCGUAAAGCUCUGUCGCAGGGGAAUAACACAAUGAAGGUACCCUGUAAGAAAGGAUCGGCUAACUUCGUGCCAGCCGCCGCUGUAA
rnacentral:rRNA from 1 species